UAUGAAGCAAGUGUUAAAAGAAAACUCCUAGUUGUAUUUCUCUCAAGUUACGUUUUUUAAAGACGGUCAAUAAUUGGUGUUUUCAAUUCCCAAAGUAGGCCUAUCAUGCCAAGUGAAGUUGGAUAGUUUUCUUUAUUAAGUUCCCACCCUUGUCUGACUGUACGUAACAAUGGUGUCCCCAAGAUCAAAUGCAGGGACGAUCCACCACUUAUCGUUGAUUAAUAUAAUGUAGCAUCAUUCGUAUAUCCAUCAAGCUAUCUGGUAGAUCAAACCACAUUCCAUGGAAAACCCACAUAGCUUGUCUCCUUCUGAGUCAUGAUUUACUUGGAUUCGUUGAUUGAACAAUCAAAUUUCCUCAACUGACCAUUGCUUUUGAUGAGCUUGAUGCAGCAGAAGAAGAUUACUUGCAAAAGAGAAGGACUGAUGAGUUUGUUGAAGGAUGGAUCUUCCGUUCUCUUAGUGAUAAACUUCUUCAGGAUAAAGCGGUUCAUCAAUUAGAUACUGCUGCUACACAAGUUUGGUUGGUUUUAGAGAACCUCAAUCGCAAGGUUAUGGAUGCUUAAAGAUGCCUAUAUGAUUGAGGAACUUGAUAUGUGAUUCCCAAGCUCAAGGAAAUGAAUCAUUAAGUCCAAGGAUAUCCUAAUAUUUAGCUUACUGUAAUGUUUUAUGAAUUAUAUAGUUGUGUAUUAUGUUAUAAGGGCCGUGUCCCUAUUUUACCCUUAUAAUGUUGUUGGUAGGAUGGAAAAGAGACUUAAGGUCUAAAUAUGUACUUAUGAUAUUUUGUAUAUAUGUUAUGAGAUAAAUUUCUAGCA